ACACCUUAUUUUCUCAUCAAAUCUUCUUCAAAAACCCAUCUAAAACUUCUGAAAAUUUAUGUUUAUAAACUCAAAUCUCCCAUAAAAAUAAUCUUCAUCUUAAGAGCUUUCCAUAGACACCAAACUUGAAGAAAUCCACCAAGUAUAGAGUUUAGUUGAAGAGUUGGAGUUGAGACUUGAAGGGCAAGGACCCAAAGUUAGAACCACUUCUAAGAACGCGUAGGAGCUUACGUGGGAGCUUACGGAAUAAUUAUAUAGGCUUGGAGUCGAGAGUAAACCCCUAUGGCACCUCGACGGAGAAUGGAUAUGCGAGCGGAAGAUGAACCUGAGUUGGAGUAUGACUCCCCUUUGUUUAGAUCUCGUUAUUUUAUUUGAGAGACUGUUAGUUUAGAUUUAGACUAUUUUAAGGAUGUCAUUUGACCUUUGGACUUAUUUCGAUUUGGUUGUAAUUUUCCUAUAUUUUGGACAGUUAAGACUUCCGUUAUAUUGCUUUGGUUUGGUUCAAGUAUUAUACUUGAAUAUUGGUUUGACCUUUAAGUAACCCCUUAAUUGUGUUGGCAAAAGUAAGCUUCCGCUUGAUUA